UCUAGAUCUAGCGGCUGUUGAAGUUCCAUCUACAAAUGGCUAAGACUUAGGUCUUAGUGUAUGCUAGUCUUAGUGUAUAUGAGUCGUUGAAGUUGCAGGAGUAAUACCCCAAUUCUUGUUCUCUCAAGAGGCCGGGCAUUGCUCCUGCGUUUUGUUUUAAUAGUGUUUUAUUUGCAUUUUUCAUAAUGAUUUUUUCUUUUUUUUUGAAGUAAUUCAAUUUGAAGUAAAAAAAAAAAAAAUGACUCGAAKGGAGGAUUGGUUGGCGAAUUCUUGAUUAUCAUACUCUCGUUCUGUACAUAUAUAAACCAAUCCAAUAUAAUAUGUUCCUAACAAUUUUGAAACAAUUUAUUUGAGAAAGCGGAGGGGCGGAUGUAGCCAAGUGGAU
rnacentral:misc_RNA from 1 species